rnacentral:lncRNA from 1 species
GCUCAGGAGGGAUAGACAAGGAAGGAGAAGAUGAGUUGGGCGGAAACGGGGAAGAACGGAGAUUAAAUCCUAUAUCAGAAAGUUGAGAUACAGAAUUUAUAACGGAACGAAAAAUAAACGGAAAGAACACAACACGGGGUCUUACAAGGUCAAGAAAAGGUCUUACAAGGUCAAGAAGACACAAAAGAAAAAAAAAACUUGAAAAAAAAUCAAGAAAAAUUAUUGAAAAAGCUCAGGUAGGAUAGCACCAAAUUAGGAUGAACGGGAGGCAGCUAUUGAAAUGGAUACCCUAGCUCCCAAUUCAAAGCUGGCCAUCACGAGUCCAUCCCUGGCG